GUAGGUGUUAGAGUAUUGAGAGGAGUUCUCCUUAGUACGAGAGGACCGGGAGAGACGCACCUCUGGUGUACCAGUUAUCGUGCCAACGGUAAACGCUGGGUAGCCAAGUGCGGAUGGGAUAACCGCUGAAAGCAUCUAAGUGGGAAGCCCACCUCAAGAUGAGUACUCUUACCAUUUUAAAUGGAUAAGAUCACGGCAAGACUAGCCGUUUGAUAGGCAUCAAGUGUAAGUAUAGUAAUAUAUUCAGCUGAGAUGUACUAACAGAUCGAAGACUUGA
rnacentral:rRNA from 1 species